rnacentral:rRNA from 1 species
CCUACGGGGUGCUGCAGUGGGGAAUAUUGGGCAAUGGGCGCAAGCCUGACCCAGCAACGCCGCGUGAAGGAAGAAGGCUUUCGGGUUGUAAACUUCUUUUCUCAGGGACGAAGCAAGUGACGGUACCUGAGGAAUAAGCCACGGCUAACUACGUGCCAGCAGCCGCGGUAAUACGUAGGUGGCAAGCGUUAUCCGGAUUUACUGGGUGUAAAGGGCGUGUAGGCGGGACUGCAAGUCAGAUGUGAAAACCACGGGCUCAACCUGUGGCCUGCAUUUGAAACUGUAGUUCUUGAGUACGGGAGAGGCAGACGGAAGUCGUGGUGUAGCGGUGAAAUGCGUAGAUAUUAGGAGGAACACCAGUGGCGAAGGCGGUCUGCUGUACAGCAACUGACGCUGAGGCGCGAAGGCGUGGGGAGCAAACAGGAUUAGAUACCCGAGUAGUC